UACGAGGGGGGCAAGCGUUGUUCGGAAUUAUUGGGCGUAAAGGGCGCGUAGGCGGCGCGGUAUGUCUCUUGUGAAAUCUCCAGGCUCAACUUGGAGUCUGCAAGGGAAACUGCCGUGCUUGAGUACUUAAGAGGAUCGCGGAAUUCCCGGUGUAGAGGUGAAAUUCGUAGAUAUCGGGAGGAACACCAGUGGCGAAGGCGGCGAUCUGGGAAGAUACUGACGCUGAGGUGCGAAAGCGUGGGGAGCAAACAGG
rnacentral:rRNA from 1 species